rnacentral:rRNA from 1 species
GGAGUCUAGCAUGUGCGCGAGUCAUUGGGACUAGCGAAACCUAAAGGCGAAAUGAAAGUGAAGGUCGGCCUCGCGCCGACCGAGGGAGGAUGGGCCGCGUCACGACGCGGCCCCGCACUCCCGGGGCGUCUCGUUCUCAUCGCGAGAAGAGGCGCACCCAGAGCGUACACGCUGGGACCCGAAAGAUGGUGAACUAUGCCUGGUCAGGACGAAGUCAGGGGAAACCCUGAUGGAGGUCCGAAGCGAUUCUGACGUGCAAAUCGAUCGUCGGAACUGGGUAUAGGGGCGAAAGACUAAUCGAACCAUCUAGUAGCUGGUUCCCUCCGAAGUUUCCCUCAGGAUAGCUGGCGCUCGCUUUUGCGAGUCUCAUCUGGUAAAGCGAAUGAUUAGAGGCAUUGGGGUCGAAACGGCCUCAACCUAUUCUCAAACUUUAAAUGGGUGAGAUCUCCGGCUUGCUUGAAAGUUGAAGCCGCGAGAUCGGAUCAGAGUGCCAAGUGGGCCAUUUUUGGUAAGCAGAACUGGCGCUGUGGGAUGAACCAAACGCAGAGUUAAAGCUCCUAAAUCGACGCUUAUGGGAUACCAUGAAAGGCGUUGGUAACUUAAGACAGCAGGACGGUGGCCAUGGAA